rnacentral:ribozyme from 11 species
UGAACAGAAACAUAUACGGAAGGAAAAGAGAAGAAAAGAAGAAAAAGUGAAGAGACUGUUUCUUACAUCUAUGUCCGACUUCGGU